GAGAGCGCCCGAGAUGGCAGAACAAGAGCUACAGGUUCUAAACAAGAUGAAACACAAAAUAAAGAUUAAAGAUGGAGGCCGAAUGUCAUCCCUCCUACUGAGAGAGGUACACACGAGGUUGUGACUUAGUGGAAGAAUGAAAUUGGGCCUGCACCCUGAGUUGAGUUCUGGUCCCCACCUGGUCGCAGGCCUGCAAAAUGCCCCGUGGAAGAGCAAAGAAAGCCAGUGCUGCCCACAGUACUGUUCAAGGGGAUGAAAGACAUCAAGAAGCUGAAAUAACAUGUUUAGUUAACCUCCCCAAAUUUUCAAAUCAGGCCUGGAGCCCACAUCUGACUGCUUGGCUGGCAGCUUCUCCAGACACAGGUUGACGUUGUCCCGUGAGGGACACCUGUACACUCGGAACAAUUAGCACAGUUCACACAGGUAAGUCACCUUACUAACUGAACUCCUUUAAGUGGAUCACUGAGGGCCACAAAGACAGACUAAGGUCACUCAUUUAGAUGAUUUCGUUUCUUUGUGUGUUUUGUUUGUGUUCUUGUGUGUUUUUAAGUCCUUAAUAUUUGUUUUAUCUCAUCUUUCAGAAAUUUUAUACUGAUUAAGUACUUAUAACAGAAUUUGAUAUGAGCAUGUGAAAUAUUUAAUCUACCAUUUGGGAUUCUGUUUUCAAUGACCUGGAUACUCAUUU
rnacentral:lncRNA from 1 species